UGCGCGGGCACGUGAGCGCGGGCACGUGACGGCGCUGAGGCGGCGGCGGCCGUGAUGGCGACCUACGUGAGCGAGCUGGAGGCGGCCAAGAAGAGCCUGAGCGAGGCGCUGGGCGAGAACGUGAAGCAGUACUGGGCCAACCUGAAGCUCUGGUUCAAGCAGAAGAUCAGCAAGGAGGAGUUUGACCUGGAAGCGCGCAGGCUUCUCACGCAAGACAAUGUCCAUUCUCAUAAUGAUUUCCUCCUGGCUAUUCUCACCCGAUGCCAGAUCUUGGUUUCUGCCCCAGAAGGUGCUGGAUCUCUGCCAUGGCCAGGUGGCUCUGCAACUAAACCUGGAAAACCCAAAGGGAAGAAAAAGAUGUCUUCGGUUCGCCAAAAGUUCGAUCACCGGUUCCAGCCUCAGAACCCACUGUCGGGAGCCCAGCAGUUUGUGGCAAAGGAUCCUCAGGAGGAUGAUGAUUUGAAGCUGUGCUCUCACACCAUGAUGCUCCCAACACGUGGCCAGCUGGAAGGAAGGAUGAUUGUCACUGCCUAUGAGCAUGGGCUGGACAAUGUAACCGAGGAGGCAGUGACAGCUGUUGUUUAUGCUGUGGAGAACCACCUUAAGGACAUUCUGACCUCUGUGAUAUCCAGGAGGAAAGCCUAUCGUCUGAGGGAUGGCCAUUUCAAGUAUGCCUUUGGAAGCAAUGUCAACCCUCAGCCAUAUCUGAAGAACAGUGUUGUUGCUUAUAACAACUUAAUUGAGUGGUGGUGCAGAACAGCAAGGCUCCUGCUGUAUGACAGCCACAGCUGGUGCUGGUUUUGUGACUGGGAUGUUUUCUGCCUGCUCUGCCCCCAGCCCCCCGAGCAGCGCAACGCCCUCGGCGGGUCAGAGCCUGGCCCCCCCGCCUGCUCCUGAUGAUGCUGAGCAGCAGGCAGCCCUGCUCCUGGCUUGCUCUGGGGACACCCUGCCUGCAUCCCUGCCUCCAGUCAACAUGUACGACCUCUUUGAGGCACUGCAGAGCUGAUGAGGAAAAUCCCUAUCUCACAGCUGUGCAAGAUGGGUGUGCUCUUCCUCUGCAGCUAGGCUGCAGUGAUUAUAUCAGAACUGAGCUGGACAGAUUUUGACAGUGCUGCAGCAAAAUACCUGUCAUGUCCCUUCUUUCUCCUCAUGUUCCACCUGGGUACUUAGAGGAAUACUUGGUCCUGGCAUGCAGGGCACUGAUCACUGUGAUCACCCCAGCCCUGGGGAGGCAUUUAAGGUCAGCCGGGUGAGUUUUCAUUGGCAGCGUAUGGCUGUGGUUCCCUCCCUCUCUGGCAGCUGUGGGGGCAUUGCCUACUUUGAAUGUCCAAAAUUAGUUGUUAGAAAUUCCCCCUUGAUGAUCUGUGCUGUUGUGAACAGGCCUUGGGAUUUUGUCUGACAGCUGUGGAUACAGACCACAGAGCUGUAAUCAAGCGUUCAUCUCCUGUUUAGUCAGAAUUGUUAUUUCUAUGGUUUUGAUGAUCAAUUAUUGAUUGCCACCCCAAGAGCAAAAUUACUAUUUCCUUACCAUGGCAUUCCCUUAGCAAGUGGUGUAAGGGGUGGUUGUGCUGUGCUGGCUGCUGUGGCAGUGCUGGCAGGGAGCAGCUCUCCCUGUGAGACUCCCUUUGUUCCCACUCUGCAGAGCUGGCCCCUGUGGUAGAGGGAGGUUAUUCCCUGGUAACAUGGGCAGAUGUGUAUGGAAGUGUGCAGCUUGUUUCCCACCGUGCC